rnacentral:lncRNA from 1 species
GUGUUGUAAUAGAUUUAACGGCUCAAUUCCUCAUGAAUUGUUCUCCUUGACAAAUCUUCAGCGUCUUGAUUUAAGCAGGAAUGUUAUUGGCGGUACGUUGAGUGGUGACAUCAAAGAGCUCAAGAAUCUGCAGGAACUGAUCUUAGAUGAGAAUCUCAUUGGAGGAGCGAUUCCUUCAGAAAUAGGUAAACUAGAAAAUAAAUUCUCAAAUAUUUAAAUUUUAUAUUCAUGUGGGUGUUAAAAUGUCCUACCUUUUAAAAUGUUGCAAGGUAGUCUUGUCGAACUACUGACGCUGACCUUGAGGCAGAACAUGUUCAAUAGUUCCAUACCGUCGUCUGUAUCACGGUUAACGAAGCUCAAAACGAUAGAUCUUCAGAACAAUUUCUUGU